GAGGCCUGCCGCUUCACCUGUGCCUUACUCAACAGGAUAUCAUAGUGACUUGAGAAUGCCGCAAGGAAACAAGUCACUGCUCACUCUGGCCUCUAGUUCUUCUGGCCCUGGUCACUCCGGCCUGCCCUGCCUUCGAGCCAGGUCACUGCGGCCCCCGUGGCUGCACGCACGUUCACGUGUGUGUGUCAACCUAGCAAGUGGAACACUCAGUCAUCCAGCAAACAGAGGAAAUGUGCAAGGUUUACUGCCUAUCAAUUUGAUGCCAACGUCGACAAGCUGAAAGAUGCCUCCACGAAUUAAUCUUACAAGCAGCCACUAUAUAUACGUAUAGUUGAAUUAGAUGAAAAUGGGUUUGAAGAUUUUAACUCCAAUAUGUAACUAGCACAUCAUGCACAAGUGUUGUUUAGUUGUAGAACUUGUAUGCCCCUUUUGUGUUUAGAACUGGUCUACCUACCUGAUUGUAUUUAUAAUGCUUGUAAGAGCAGGAAAGUAGACAAUAUUUUACCAUUAAAUGUUCAUCAGUAAUAUUCAUUAUCUUAGA